rnacentral:rRNA from 1 species
CGCGUAGGCGGCCUGGUAAGUCUGGAGUGAAAGUCCUGCUUUUAAGGUGGGAAUUGCUUUGGAUACUGUCGGGCUUGAGUGCAGGAGAGGUAAGUGGAAUUCCCGGUGUAGCGGUGAAAUGCGUAGAGAUCGGGAGGAACACCAGUGGCGAAGGCGACUUACUGGACUGUAACUGACGCUGAGGCGCGAAAGUGUGGGGAGCAAACA